rnacentral:rRNA from 1 species
UUACCUACGGGACGCAGCAGUGGGGAAUACUGCACAAUGGGGGAAACCCUGAUGCAGCAACGCCGCGUGAAGGAAGACGGUUUUCGGAUUGUAAACUUCUGUUCUUAGUGAAGAAUAAUGACGGUAGCUAAGGAGCAAGCCACGGCUAACUACGUGCCAGCAGCCGCGGUAAUACGGAGGAUGCGAGCGUUAUCCGGAUUUAUUGGGUUUAAAGGGUGCGCAGGCGGUCUGUUAAGUCAGCGGUCAAAGCCCGGGGCUCAACCCCGGCCCGCCG